CUUUACGUACGCGUCUUACUUGUAUUUUUUUUCCCAUUGUGACGUCAUAUUCCCUUCUCUUUUUUAUUGUGUGUGUACAUGUCCCCUCUUCUUGUUUUUCCAAGUACUAAAAAUGGAGAAUUUUGAUACAUUACUGAUACUUUUUGGAAAUGACGUCUUAACUUGAAUCUAGCAAAAAGGCUUCAAUUCCAACUCUAACAUUUAUUUUUUUAAAUUCAAAUAAUUUUUACUUCCAGAACAGAUGGUCAAGUGGAUUUUUAGGCUCAGUUUAUGGUAAAAAGACUCUGUUUAGGGAUGUUUUAUUUUCCUUUAUUUUUUGGUACCUUUUUGGUACUUUUUAAAACGUACCAUAAAUCUACUAUAGGUAAUAUGAAACAAGCAAUUCAUCAUCUAGCUAUAGCCAUUAUAAGUAGAAGUAGUACACUAAACCACCAUUUUUAUUGAAAGAGAAAUAAAGAAAGAGAGACAAAGGGAGGAAGAGACACAAAGCCAGAAGCCAAGCUUCAGUGAAGAAAUAGAAACACAAAGGGCUGUGCUGAGUUGUGAGUUGUUUGUAGUCGAUAGAGAGAGUUUUUGUGUGGAUCAUCGUUAACUAAUUAUUAUAUGUCAUUAUAUUUAAAGAACUUGUUAGUAACAAGAUCAGUAAACAUAAAUAUUAUGUGGAAA
rnacentral:lncRNA from 1 species